UACGGGGGGGGCAAGCGUUGUUCGGAAUUACUGGGCGUAAAGGGCGCGUAGGCGGUUGGAUAAGUCAGCUGUGAAAACCACGGGCUUAACUCGUGGCCUGCAGUUGAGACUGUCUGGCUUGAGUGUGGGAGAGGAGAGUGGAAUUCCUGGUGUAGCGGUGAAAUGCGUAGAUAUCAGGAGGAACACCGGUGGCGAAGGCGGCUCUCUGGGCCGAUACUGACGCUGAGGAGCGAAAGCAUGGGUAGCGAACAGG
rnacentral:rRNA from 1 species